rnacentral:rRNA from 1 species
UACGUAGGGGGCAAGCGUUGUCCGGAAUCAUUGGGCGUAAAGAGCGCGUAGGCGGUCCGGUAAGUCCGCUCUGAAAGUCCGGGGCUCAACCCGGGAGGCGGCGGAUACUGCCGGGCUAGAGUCCGGAAGAGGCGAGUGGAAUUCCUGGUGUAGCGGUGAAAUGCGGCAGAUAUCAGGAGGAACACCGAUGGCGAAGGCAGCUCGCUGGGACGUAACUGGACGCUGAGACGCGAAAGCGUGGGGAGCAAACAGG